GGGGGUGACGUGGUUUCGACGGAGUACGACAGCCGACGUAGCUGCAUGCCGAGCUUGCUGGUGAUGCUCGUAAAUACAACCAGCAAAGGCAAAAUGCCAACUCGUACAGCUACGCAAUGGCAGCCUAAUAGUUAGGGCGCCAUUGUUGGGAUGCGUUGAGCGAAGCUCCGCUCCCUGCUGCCUGCAUAGGCGCCAUCACCUAUGCGGAUGCAGCAUCGGACACCUGAUGGCCGGUUUCUGCAGUGUAUCGUUCCGCUGCAGGAACUGCUCACAAGAACGAUAGCUCCACCGCGCGUGUCGCUCCGCUACCGGUGGAGUAAAGCUCCAUAGAGCGACUGAGCAUGGAGACGCUACGCGACUGGUACUUCGGACCCGGGUUCGACUCCCGGCACCUCCACAG
rnacentral:tmRNA from 1 species